GAGGAGGGUGCGACGUUGGUGGUGGAGGGGAUUUGUAAUAGUAGGGAGGAAGAAGAGUGGGAGAUGGUGGAGGAGGGCUUUUAUAGUAAUAAGGAGGUGGUGGUGAUGGGGAAGGUGGGGGAGGGGAUUUGUAAUAGUAAGGAGGUGGCGGUGAUGGGGAUGGUGGGGGAGGGGAUUUGUAAUAGUAAGGAGGUGGGGGUGAUGGAGAUGGUGGUGGAGGUGAUUUAUAGUAAUAGGGAGGUGGUGGAGAUGGAGAGGGAGGUGGAGGAGAUUUAUAAUAGUAUGGAGGAGGAGGGGAUGGUGAAGGUGGGGGUGGUGAUUUAUAAUAGUAUGGUGGGGGAGGAGAGGGGGAUGGUGGAGGUGGAGAGUUGUAUUUGUAAACGGGAGUUGGAGGAGGAGGUGACUUAUAGUAGUAAGGAGUUGGAGAAGGUUUUUCACAUUCUUUAAAAUGCUUCUUUGAAGCAUAAGCAAAUGGCUUAGCCUUAAGCACAACUUCGUACUUGUCCUUAGAUUUCACCUUCAAGUUGGUUCCUUCAUUCAAUUUAGUAGGUAUGCUGAAGGGUGAGUCUUUAGGUGGAGCAAAAAGCUUGGCCUUGCACACUGUGGCUCCAUACUUGACGUAAUCGAAAUCCUUAACUGUGAUACUAUACUUUCCAUUGCUCUUAGUUUCACCAUAGGCCUUGAUCACUUUCCACCCUGCUUUGCAUUUCACCUCCACAACAGCACCUACAUGCCCCCCAAAAACGAUUCAUUACGAUACAUAAGUUAAAUUAUUCUUGUAAGCAAACGCACUAUAUAUUGGAUAAGAUACUAUGUUAAUUAUCUUUCUCUCAAUUCUUUUCUUUAUCAUAUUGUUGUUUAUUUAUUUCUGUUUAUGUAUAAUUUGUAAGAUAUUAAAGAUGUAAUAAUCAAUAUUCUCAUUUAACUUUAAAAUAACCAAAAAAAAGUGCUCGUAAGAUGUUGGAAAUAUAAAAGUUUUCUUAAUUAGUCUUAACUUUUAGCCAAUAAUAAAAUGAUAUAUCUAAACAAAAAGAUAAUGAAAUGAAUAUGAUGUACCUUUGAGGUGUUUCUUGUUAUGAGACUUCUCGAUGUGGUUCCAGUCAUAGCACUUGUAGCUGUAAACUUUACCUACUACCUUCACAGUCAAUGCGUGGUCGUAAUGAUGUGGGUAGGGGUGUGUGGGAUAUGCAGCUGGUGGAGGAGGAGAGUUAUAAUAGUAUGGAGGUGGUGGAGAGUUGUAGUAGUAAGGAGUGGGUGAAGGGGGAGGAGGAGACUUGUAGUAGUAAGGUGGAUGGGGUAAUGGAGAUGGAGGAGGAGGAGAUUUGUAGUAGUAGGGUGGUGGAGAAGGUGUUGGGGAUGGUGGUGGAGGGGAUUUGUAGUAGUAUGGGGUUGGAGAUGGAGAUUUUUCAGGUGGAGGUGGAGACUUGUAAUAGUAGGGUGGUGGAGGAGAUGGUGAAG
rnacentral:lncRNA from 1 species